GAUGAACGCUGGCGGCGUGCCUAAUACAUGCAAGUCGAGCGAACGGACGAGAAGCUUGCUUUUCUGAUGUUAGCGGCGGACGGGUGAGUAACACGUGGAUAACCUACCUAUAAGACUGGGAUAACUUCGGGAAACCGGAGAUAAUACCGGAUAAUAUUUUGAACCGCAUGGUUCAAAAGUGAAAGACGGUCUUGCUGUCACUUAUAGAUGGAUCCGCGCUGCAUUAGCUAGUUGGUAAGGUAACGGCUUACCAAGGCAACGAUGCAUAGCCGACCUGAGAGGGUGAUCAGCCACACUGGAACUGAGACACGGUCCAGACUCCUACGGGAGGCAGCAGUAGGGAAUCUUCCGCAAUGGGCGAAAGCCUGACGGAGCAACGCCGCGUGAGUGAUGAAGGUCUUCGGAUCGUAAAACUCUGUUAUUAGGGAAGAACAUAUGUGUAAGUAACUGUGCACAUCUUGACGGUACCUAAUCAGAAAGCCACGGCUAACUACGUG
rnacentral:rRNA from 1 species